rnacentral:rRNA from 1 species
CAGCCGCCGCGGUAAAACGAAGGGGGCUAGCGUUGCUCGGAAUUACUGGGCGUAAAGGGCGCGUAGGCGGGUGUUUAAGUCAGAGGUUAAAUCCCAGGGCUCAACCCUGGAACUGCCUUUGAUACUGGGCACCUAGAGUUCGGGAGAGGUGUGUGGAACUCCGAGUGUAGAGGUGAAAUUCGUAGAUAUUCGGAAGAACACCAGUGGCGAAGGCGACACACUGGCCCGAUACUGACGCUGAGGCGCGAAAGCGUGGGGAGCAAACAGGAUUAGAUACCCCCGUAGUCCCUGUCUCUUAUAC